UACGGAGGUGGCAAGCGUUGUUCGGAAUUACUGGGCGUAAAGGGCGCGUAGGCGGCAAGGCAAGUCAGGUGUGAAAGCCCCCGGGCUCAACUCGGGAACUGCAUCUGAAACUGCUGUGCUUGAGUCCUGGAGGGGGUAGUGGAAUUCCCAGUGUAGCGGUGAAAUGCGUAGAUAUUGGGGAGGAACACCGGUGGCGAAGGCGGCUACCUGGACAGUGACUGACGCUGAGGCGCGAAAAGCUAGGGG
rnacentral:rRNA from 1 species